rnacentral:lncRNA from 1 species
CAAAUUUUAUCAGAACAUUCCAUAGACUGUGUCACCGAGGCCAAUGGCACAAUGCCACUCUGUAAUAUGGUAGAUGCAGCACUAUCUUUGGUUUGGGAAGAAAAUGUCUUAGAUGUUUGUCUUGGGAAUGUGCUUUGUUCUCUUUGAGUCUUAGUUUCACAUCUGUUACAAUAAAAGAUAGAAUAAUUAUAUCUCCCGGUAUAUGGAUGGUUUAGUUAGUUCCAAACAUGUAGAAUGUUUAACCUAGAAAAAGAUCAGUUUCCUGUUCUUAUGAAGUUCUCUAUAAAAUUGUACUAUACAAAAGCAUUGCAUUAGCCUUGUCAUAUUUCAUUAAAAAUCUAUUUAAAACCUAUUUGCUUUAAUGAGGUUACAGGAGUAUAUAUGGACUGCAUUUUGCAAUGAAUACCCUCUCUUACAUUACCAGCACUCAAUCAUGCUGAACUCCAGGACUAAGGGACUUUCUGAGGCUUCCUUGCUUUUGUUCUAUGCAAAGAACUUGGCAACCAUGGAAACAGUUCUGACUGCUCAUUUUGCACAUUUCUUCCCUAGUGUGUUAAUCAGCCACAAACAAGAAGAUAACACCAAAUACCCCAAGUCUGCUCCCUUUAAAGAAGAAACAACUUUAGCUUAUUCCUACUACCUCUACAGCUAUCUUAAAGAAAGAAGGGUGAACAGAACAUAUGAUAUGCUUUAUAUCGAUUUAAUGUUUCUUGGACAAAAAGAAGAAUUGCUUGAGUAUUAUUGGAGAACCUAA